ensembl:lncRNA
GGGGUUAGACAGUACAGAGACAGGUCAUUAAGGAGCAGGUAGGGGUAAGACAGUACAGAGACAGGUCAUUAAGGAGCAGGUAGGGGUUAGACAGUACAGAGACAUGACAUAAGGAGCAGCUAGGGGUUAGACAGUACAGAGACAGGUCAUUAAGGAGCAGCUAGGGGUUAGACAGUACAGAGACAGGUCAUUAAGGAGCAGGUAGGGGUUAGACAGUACAGAGACAGGUCAUUAUGGAGCAGGUAGGGGUUAGACAGUACAGAGACAGGUCAUUAAGGAGCAGGUAGGGGUUAGACAGUACAGAGAC